UACGGGGGGAGCAAGCGUUGUUCGGAUUUACUGGGCGUAAAGGGCGCGUAGGCGGUAGCACAAGUCAGUUGUGAAAUCUCCGGGCUUAACUCGGAAAGGUCAACUGAUACUGUGCGACUAGAGUGCAGAAGGGGCAACUGGAAUUCUCGGUGUAGCGGUGAAAUGCGUAGAUAUCGAGAGGAACACCUGCGGCGAAGGCGGGUUGCUGGGCUGCAACUGACACUGAGAGACGAAAGCCAGGGGAGCAAACGGG
rnacentral:rRNA from 1 species